UCUUUUCUCAAUCUCUGAACUCUGACCUUGUCACCCCCUUGUUUAUUUUGCAGGCAAAGAGAGUUGCUUUGAGCGCAUAAUGCAAAGGUUUGGCAGGAAAGUAGUGUAUGUUGUAGUUGGGGAUGGUGUGGAAGAGGAACAGGCAGCAAAAAAGCACAACAUGCCUUUCUGGAGGAUAUCCAGUCACUCUGACCUGCUGGCGUUGCACCAAGCACUGGAGUUUGAGUACCUGUAACUGUUACUAUAGCGAUGGACACAUCAAAAGUACCUGUUGUUGUUACCAUGGCGAUGGGCGAUGAUGGGAGAUAUAGCCCCGUCUUUUGUAUCUCUAUUUAAGAAACACAGUACACUGCAACGUUUUUGUCGUUUUCUUUUUUUUGUGACUUUUUUAACAUCUGGAUUUUAGAACUCUGAACUGUCUUAAAAGGAUGAGGACUGGAAGAGGGGAAGAGAGAGAGAGAAAGAGGAGGAUUAAGCAACAGACAGGAGGAUGAGAAGAGAGAAGAGGGAUGAAAGGAGAACAUGACUGAACUUUCCAACGUACCCUGUGACCUCUGUGAAACAUUGAUCCACCUUCGUAGGAUGUCUGGGCAAUGCGGGCUUUCGUCAUACACCAUCUCCGUGUAAACUACUUUGUAAAGUGGUUUGGAAAACUUGUUUGGUAUAUAUGCCUCAGUUGUUGUAAUCUGAUUUCCUACCCAACUUUUCAGGUUCUCACAUCCCUAUAACUCAAACUGAAGUCUGUGCAGUUACUGGCAACAACUAAUAAACAAAACAAGGAAGAGGGGGAGAGGGGUUUGUGAAUGAAAAGCAACUUAAUUUUUGUUUCCCAUUUUUUGGUUUCUCUCAUUUUUUGUAUGAUUAUUUUUUUUUGCAAGAAGAAUGUGCGUCAUGAUGUGUCGUGCCUUAUAAACGUGUUUGUGUGUUACUUUGUCACUUCUUUGUUUAUUUGGAAAUGCCUAUGUAGAUAAAAGAACAAAAUCUGA